AUGAGAUUUCUAGAAUGCAUGUUCCUCCUGGCUCUCAUCUCAGCUGUUCAGGGACAGUCACUCACCUCCUCUGAGCCAGUGGUGAAGAGCCCUGGAGAGUCAGUAACACUGGCCUAUGCUGUGUCUGGACUACCCCUGAGCUGGUUACACUGGAUCCAUCAGAAACCUGGGAAAGGUUUGGGCUUGAGGUUUGAGUGGUUUGAGUGGAUUGGGCUCAUUGACAGUGGCACUGGCACUAUAUUUGCCCAAUCUCUACAUGGUCAGUUCACCAUCACCAAAGACAGCUCCAAAAACCAGCUGUACCUCGAGGUAAAAAGCCUGAAGACCAAAGACUCUGCUGUUUAUUAUUGUGCCAGAGACACAGUGACAAAGAAGCUUGUGUUUGUUGUGAUGUCAGACUGGAUCAGUCAAGGAGACUGUUAA